GAUGAACGCUGGCGGCGUGCCUAAUACAUGCAAGUCGAGCGAACAGACGAGGAGCUUGCUCCUCUGACGUUAGCGGCGGACGGGUGAGUAACACGUGGAUAACCUACCUAUAAGACUGGGAUAACUUCGGGACACCGGAGCUAAUCCCGGAUAAUAUAUUGAACCGCAUGGUUCAAUAGUGAAAGACGGUUUUGCUGUCACUUAUAGAUGGAUCCGCGCCGCAUUAGCUAGUUGGUACGGUAACGGCUUACCAAGGCAACGAUGCGUAGCCGACCUGAGAGGGUGGUCGGCCACACUGGAACUUAGACGCGGUCCAGACGCCUACGGGAGGCAGCAGUAGGGAAUCUUCCGCAAUAGGCGGAAGCCUGGCAGAGCGACCCCGCGUGAGUGAUGAAGGUCUUCGGAUCGUAAAACUCUGUUAUUGGGGAAGAACAAAUUUGUAAGUAACCAAGCACGGCUUGACGGUACCGAAUCAAGAAGCCACGGCUAACUACGUG
rnacentral:rRNA from 1 species